rnacentral:rRNA from 1 species
GUAACGCGUGGGAACAUACCCUCCGGUUCGGAAUAGCUCAGGGAAACUUGGAUUAAUACCGGAUACGGCCUAGCGGCGAAAGAUUCAUCGCCGGAGGAUUGGCCCGCGUUCGAUUAGCUAGUUGGUGAGGUAACGGUCACCAAGGCGAGAUCGAUAGCUGGUCUGAGAGGAUGAUCAGCCACAUUGGGACUGAGACACGGCCAAAUCCUACGGGAGGCAGCAGUGGGGAAUAUUGGACAAUGGGCGCAAGCCUGAUCCAGCCAUGCCGCGUGAGUGAUGACGGCUUAGGGUUGUAAAGCUCUUUCGCUAGGGACCGAUAAUGACGGUACCUAGACAAGAAGCCCCGGCUAAUUCCGUGCCAGAAGCCGGGUAAUACGAAGGGGGCUAGCGUUGUCGGAAUUAUGGGCGUAAAAAGCGCGUGUAAGCA